rnacentral:rRNA from 1 species
UCUGCUCAGUUUUAGGUUGGGGUGACCACGGAGUAUAAAAUAACCUCCAUGAAGAAGGGGAUAUUUCCCUUAUUAGAGAACCACACUUCCAAGAACUAAUAAAUUAAUUUUCAAUGACCCGAUACCCGAUAAUCGAUCAACGAACCAAGUUACCCUGGGGAUAACAGCGCAAUCCACCCUGAAAGCCCUUAUUAACAGGUGGGUUUACGACCUCGAUGUUGGAUCAGGGUAUCCCAGUGGUGCAGCAGCUACUGAGGGUUCGUUUGUUCAACGAUUAAAACCCU